GAUGAAGAACGCAGCGAAAUGCGAUAAGUAAUGUGAAUUGCAGAAUUCAGUGAAUCAUCGAAUCUUUGAACGCAUCUUGCGCUCCUUGGUAUUCCUUGGAGCAUGCCUGUUUGAGUAUCAUGAGCAAAUCUCAAAGUCAAUUCCUUUUGUUGAUUCAAUUGGUUUUGCUUUGGACUUGGAGGCCUUGCAGAUUUCACAGUCUGCUCCUCUUAAAUGCAUUAGCUGGAUCUCAGUAAUUAUGCUUGGUUCCAAUCGGCGUGAUAAGUAUCACUCGCUGAGGACACUGUUAAAAAGGUGGCCAGGAAAAUACUGAUUGAACCGCUUCUAACGGUCUAUUAAGUUAGACAAUUACCCUUAAGUUUGAUCUCAAAUCAGGUAGGACUACCCGCUGAACUUAAGCAUAUCAAUAAGCGGAGGA
rnacentral:misc_RNA from 1 species